GUCAUUUGGAAGGCUCUAAAGAUGCAGUUUUACACCACAAUGGAAGAAGCUAUAUUGCCACCGUGAAUGUAGUUCUCGCAACAUUUUUGCACGAUGACAGAAUGACGUAAGUUAUGAAUGAUGUCAUGGAUACAACAAAUAUUGCACAAGGUAUCAAGGUGUUGUCUUUCA